GGGGGUUGAAUUGUACCGUUGUAUGUAUUGUAUACGCAUUGUAUGAGAUGUGAUGGUUGUUGUACCUAGGCCUAGUCUUCCGCCAUGACCACGCCAUCCACUCCCUGCAUGUAGGGAGUUAGGCUACGUGCCGCUGUGUAUAUGUAACAGACUGCUCAAUGGAAUAGAUCACAGACUCAUUCCGCCAUUCUUCUCCCUCUCUGUGCGCCGCCGCUCUCUCGUCUCGCCCCUCCCUCUCAGGUGCGCCGCCGCUCUCUCGUCUCGCCCCUCCCUCUCCGGUGCGCCGCUAUUCCCUCGUCGCCCCUUCCUCUCCGCACAAAAAGGGAAGAAAAUUGGGUGCUAGGAAGAAGAGGAGCACGUGCGGACGGCGAGCAGCUGCGUGGCUGCUGUUGCAGCUGGGUUACAACACCGGUAGAGGCUACAGCAGCGGCUGCAAUCUUCCUCCUUGAAUAUGCUUAGCUCUACAGAUUUUACUGCAUGUAGCUACGAGAGAGAUGGGGAGGAUAUUGAGAUGACACUCGUGGUUGCUUUUUGAUUAAAGUUUGGUGUUCUAUGCUGUUCAAACUAGUACCAUAUCCUUUGCAAGGAUUGUUAGUUUCUCUGAAGUAAAAUAGGCACACUCAAAUUGCUAUUGUCUGCUACUCCUACAUCUUUGUAAUAAUUAGUGGAGCCAUUGUUUUUAAAAGGAUGUUGUUUUCCUUGCAAAUAUAAACAAGAUGCUGCUGAAAUUUUGUAUUUUUGAUAUUCCGUUCUUCAUUCCGUGCUUCCGGACCGAACACAUGAACGGAACCAUUCCAUUCUACUUUUUGCUCGUACCGAACAUAGGGCCGGAACCAACCCGUUCCUCUGGAAUGGAACCAUUCCAUUCCGUGACAGUUGGUUCCUGAACCAAACACACCCGUAAUGUGUUCUUCACAUGUGACAACACUAAGUGAACCAUUUUGGGCUUCAUUUGCAUUCUAGCAUGGUGGUCUCUCCUAUAGCUAGCUAUAAAUGUUGGCAGUUUCUUCCCUUUUUCUUUGGUGUUGUUUAUUUACUGAAAAGAGUGUUUUUCUUGGUUUAGUAUUACCUAACAUAGUCAUGUAAAGUAAACUGAACUGUUCAAAUGCCCUCAUGUUACUAAAGGGUGCAAAUAGUUAGCAUAGCUGUAGUCGGUGCCCUGUUAUUAUUUGUUAAGUUAGGAUGCUUACGUUGUGGUUCGUUGUGUAUGUAAGCUGACAAGUACUCCCUCCGUUCCAAAUUACUCGUCGCAGAAAUGGAUGUAUCUAGAACUAAAAUACAUCUAGAUACAUCCAUACCUGCGACAAGUAAUUUGGAACGGAGGGAGUAAUACAUCUCUAUUUUUCCAGUUUCAGAAAAAAAUUGCACUGGAUUGUGCCGGCUGGGGUGGUCACUUUCUUUGGAAAGAAAGAAACAUAUAUAUUGGAGAUGCAUGCGUUUAGAUUUUUUUUGCUAUGAGUUCAAUAGUCUCUGUUAAAUCACAGUAAUUUUGUUGCUCUGCUGAGCAGGUUUUCUUAUACAUAUAUUUAUUUUGAAAAUUCAUAGAUGGAUGAAAUGCUGCUGAGACGUUACAAGAUAUUCCAGCAGAGGCAUCCUUACCGCCCGCAUUACAAGGAUAUGAGAACAUUGGGGUCCUGAAGGCAGUGACCUGUUUACCAUACAUGUAUUUACUUCCUUUCUAGGGCGGAACAAUGGAAGGCACAAUUCCAAGUACAGCUCUUCAAGAACAGUUCUCUGAAGGAACAACAAUUUACAAGCUUGGCGCUUACCAGGUUCAAUAUGCUAGGGAAAGAUACAAAACUGUAGAUCGUCCAUGGAGAGUAGUGUUUGCCCAAAAAACUACCGUGGAACCAAUUGUGCCUCAGCCACCAAACUUUCCCAAUUAUGGAUAUACCACCUACAAUGUACACAGUAUCAAAGCCGCAUUAAACAAAUCAUUUUGUUGUCAGUAUCACAAGAACAUUUGCGCCGAGUGGCGGAUCGAUUGACCAGAUAUGAGAAAAUCACAUCACAAACAAUGCCCGCCAUUGUGACGUUUUGGGGAAAAUUAGCAGAUUCCCUUGGUGCAGACAAGCUACAACGGUGGUCUGCUCAAGAACCCAUUAUAGUUCUAUUUGUUGGCAUGCCAGUACAUGAAUUUAAUGAAACUUGGCCUUCAAGUCCUGUCUGCCAUAUUGCGAUGGAACGGCAGUAUAAUAUACAAAACUUUGACGAGGCUCAUCUGCUUCAAAAUUUCACAAUAAGUCCAAUCAAGACAAUUUGCAACUUUGGUGUUGUCACGUUGGAGUCCGUGCUGAGCAGCAAUGGGAGACUGUCGUUGAUGCCCAACCAAUGAUGCCGACGAAGGAACGAGAGUCGACGAGGAGUAGACGCCAUCGGUUCUUGAACCGCCAAGCCACUGUUGUCCGUUUGGUAAUGUCCGACGUAUCAGUGGCAUAGUAUGACUUGCCCCGAUUUUGACGUCGUCUACCAACAUCCGACGAAGGGAACCCGUCCCGGUUUCCAUCUUGAUGGUAAGUUCUCUAAUCUUCUAUCUCAUGGGAUGUGAUGUGGUUGCCUUCAUUUUGGCUUUUGACAAAGGGUUGAAAUUAGCUUAUGUGCUUCCGACGAUUGAAAUUCCAGUUAUAUUAUCAACCUUCAGCGAGCAGUGACAACGAACUCCAUCCCCCCACCACACCACACCCAUGUUUCAUAUGAUGUGCUUUAAGCCAUGUUUCAGCUUGUCUCGACCCAAGCAUGUAUUUUUUGUUUCAGUUGUGGAGAUCUGCACUACAAAACUGAGAAAGGCCCAUAACUUUUUACAGGUCAGCCAUGUUUACUAAAAUAUAUAAUUUCUAAAACAUUUCCAGCAAUAUGUGAGUUGUUUGCUUGCUCAACCUUACGCUAGGAUCAUUUCUACACACUAAAUAGAGGGAAGUUGGCUUGUGCCUUACUAGAGACAGAUGAACCAACAAAAUGAUUGGAAAGGCUCUUUCCAAGCAUAAGAGGAGCUUUUCAAGGAACCUAAGAACCGGAACCUCCCCUCCCCCUCCUGUGACGCUCCCGCGGGCGUCCAGGGGGCAACCCUAGCACCGCCGCCGGUCCCCCCUCCUGCUCUCCCUCCUCCCUCGCCGCCGCCCGGGGGCGCGAGCGUGCGAAGCCCGCUCGUCGCUGGCUGCAGCGGGGCCUUCUCGUCUCUGCGCGUGGGUGUUUCGGCGCGUGUGCCGUUGCCCGGCCAGGCCCUUGCGGCAGGUCGACAUCGCACGACGCUGGAGACUCCCCUGGUGGCCAUACAUGGAUGCGGCAGAGGGCUCUGCUUCCUCAUUAGAUUAAAUUUUGGUGUUGCAUUGUUGAGCACUUCAUGUGAAUGUUCUCUAGUCUCUAUUGUGCAGGGGGUUCUACUCUCCCUCUUGAGGCAAGUGUGGAUGUAAUGGAUAUUGAUUGUGGUUGUUUGGACAAAAAUAUUGCGUGCAAACAUUAUUGAGUACUGAUGGAGCAGAGUAGUUGUGGAGCGGGUCGUGGGAGAGACGGUUGGUUAGCAUGGGCUGGACGGGAAGGUGAUGCUUGCGAUGGCGACCAAGCCGGCGGGCAAGGCAGGGGCGACCAUGGCCAUCGGGGUGUUUUCAAGGGAGAGCGAGGCAACCGCCAUCACGCAACUGAAGAAGUUGAAACCCGGGGCGAAGUUGGUCAUCAUGGCCAGCAUGAAAGCUGACAAACCUAAAUGCCGGUGAUAGGUUCGCUGCUGUCGCGCCGUCUUUAAACUUGGUGGAGACGCAGAAGCAGUGGCAGAGCUAGGAUCAAGCCACGACCCGGGCAAGCCCCAGGCCAAUCACUUGGUACAAUGCUAAACAGUGUAAAAUCCGCUACAGUAAACAAGCCUGAGGACCUAGGCCGCCGCCUGGGCAGCUUGGGGCUUGUCUCCGCCACUGCGCAGAAGGAGAGCGGUGGCGCCGUGAAGACCUCGAUGACUGCUGCCAUGACCAUGACCAUGAUGAUUGUGUUGGUAAUAAAGAUACUAAUUGUAUACAAAUCCCCCAGCUUCGAAAACAUUAGAUUAUCCAACUUAUUAUUCAAAUUUUUGAUUCAAGAUAAAUGGAAAUUUCCUAUAUACAAUGAGCCUAUUAUUGAAGGUUGCAUCGAUUAUGUUAUUAUUACUGAAAUAA